UACGUAGGGUGCGAACGUUGUCCGGAAUUAUUGGGCGUAAAGAGCUCGUAGGCGGUCUGUCGCGUCGAUCGUGAAAACUUGGGGCUUAACCCUGAGCUUGCGGUCGAUACGGGCAUGACUGGAGUUCGGCAGGGGAGACUGGAAUUCCUGGUGUAGCGGUGGAAUGCGCAGAUAUCAGGAGGAACACCGGUGGCGAAGGCGGGUCUCUGGGCAACAACUGACGCUGAGGAGCGAAAGCGUGGGGAGCGAACAGG
rnacentral:rRNA from 1 species